UACGGAGGGUGCGAGCGUUGUCCGGAAUUACUGGGCGUAAAGGGCGCGUAGGCGGCCCGUCAAGCGUGUGGUGAAAGCCCGGGGCUCAACCCCGGGAGGCGGGUGGAUACUGUCAAGCUCGAGUCCGGAAGAGGAGUGUGGAAUUCCUGGUGUAGCGGUGAAAUGCGCAGAUAUCAGGAGGAACACCAAUGGCGAAGGCAGCACUCUGGGACGUGACUGACGCUGAGACGCGAAAAGCGUGGGGAGCAAACAGG
rnacentral:rRNA from 1 species